CAGUAGCCACGGUAAUACGUAGGGUGCGAGCGUUAAUCGGAGUUACUGGGCGUAAAGCGUGCGCAGGCGGUUGUGUAAGACAGGUGUGAAAUCCCCGGGCUUAACCUGGGAACUGCGUUCUGAACUGGAUAGCUAGAGUGUGUCAGAGGGGGGUAGAAUUCCACGUGUAGCAGUGAAAUGCGUAGAGAUGUGGAGGAAUACCGAUGGCGAAGGCAGCCCCCUGGGAUAACACUGACGUUCAUGCUCGAAAGCGUGGGUAGCAAACAGGAUUAGAUACCCCUGUAGUCCCUGUCUCUUAUAA
rnacentral:rRNA from 1 species